GCGGGUGUAGCUCAAUGGUAGAGCGUUGGCUUCCCAAGCCAAUCACGAGGGUUCGAUUCCCUUCACCCGCU
rnacentral:tRNA from 1 species